AUUGAACGCUGGCGGCAGGCCUAACACAUGCAAGUCGAACGAGUGGCGGACGGGUGAGUCAUGUCUGGGAAACUGCCCGAUGGAGGGGGAUAACUACUGGAAACGGUCGCUAAUACCGCAUACCAUCGGAUGUGCCCAGAUGGGAUGAGCUAGUAGGUUGGGGAACGGCUCACCUAGGCGACGAUCCCUAGCUGGUCUGAGAGGAUGACCAGCCACAGUGGAACGGAGACACGGCCCAAACUCCUACGGGAGGCAGCAGUGGGGAAUAUUGCACAAGGGGCGCAAGCCUGAUGGAGCCAUGCCGCGUGUAUGAAGAAGGCCUUCGGUUUGUAAAGUACUUUCAGCGAGGAGGCGUUACUCGCAGAAGAAGCACCGGCUAACUCCGUGCCAGCAGCCGCGGUAAUAC
rnacentral:rRNA from 1 species